rnacentral:rRNA from 1 species
AUACGGAGGGUGCAAGCGUUAUCCGGAUUCAUAGGGUUUAAAGGGUACGUAGGCGGAUAGAUAAGUUAGUGGUGAAAUCCCGAAGCUCAACUUCGGAACUGCCAUUAAAACUGUCUAUCUUGAAUUUGGUUGAAGUGGGCGGAAUAUGACAUGUAGCGGUGAAAUGCAUAGAUAUGUCAUGGAACACCAAUAGUGAAGACAGCUCACUAAGCCAAUAUUGACGCUGAGGUACGAAAGCAUGGGUAGCGAACAGGAUUAGAAACCCGGGUAGUCC